CUGCGCGCCGCCGCCGCCGCUCUCCUUCAUGGCCUUCGCCUGUCCCUCCUUCCCUGCUCGCUGCCCCCACCUACGGUCGCGUCCCGCUCGGCGCUCGUCCACGCCAGACGCCCACACCAGAUACCACCACCGGCCAGCCACAAGCUCGAGAAUAGGCGGCGGCGCAGACCUGGCUUCCCCCUCGGCGCUGGCGUGCAGAGUUUGCACUGCAGAUCUGUUUCGGUGUGGGUUUCAAGGGCGUAAGCAGCACGCUACGAGUUGAGAUAUGGGCACAGAAAUAGAGCUACAAGAGUGUGCAGGAGGUUGUGGAGGUUUCUACCUACAAGACUGAUCCAUGGUGGAUCCAGUGGAAUUGGUACAUUCGCUAUACAGAUUGCCAAGUACCUCGGAAUUAAGGUUUUUGUCACUGCAGGUGUUGAUGUGAUUCUGGAUAAUAUUGGAGGAUCAUAUCUCCAGCGCAAUCUAAACAGCUUAGGUGUUGAUGGUAGACUUUUCAUCAUUGGCUUCCAAGGGGGCAUAGCAGCUGAAGUGAACCUGCAAGCUGUGCUUGCAUGCCGUUUGACCAUACAAGCUGCUGGACUGCGCAACAGAAGCCUUGCCAAUAAGGCAGAGAUUGUUAGUGAGGUGGAAAAGAACGUGUGGCCUGCUGUCGCUGCUGGCAAAGUGAAGCCGGUGAUUUACAAGACGUUUCCGUUAUGUGAAGCUGCUGAGGCUCAUAGGUUGAUGGAAGCUAGCACCCACAUCGGCAAGAUACUGCUGCUCCCACUGCACCUGUGGCGUUUGUGCUCUUACUCUCGGAGGAGUCAGUUCAAGAACAUAUGCAACUUCUGUGACAGCCUGCAUGGAUGUUGUACUGGUGUAGCAUGUCUUUUUUUAUAUAUCUUGUAG
rnacentral:misc_RNA from 1 species